rnacentral:rRNA from 1 species
GUGGGGAAUAUUGGACAAUGGGCGAAAGCCUGAUCCAGCCAUGCCGCGUGUGUGAAGAAGGUCUUCGGAUUGUAAAGCACUUUAAGUUGGGAGGAAGGGCAGUAAGUUAAUACCUUGCUGUUUUGACGUUACCGACAGAAUAAGCACCGGCUAACUUCGUGCCAGCAGCCGCGGUAAUACGAAGGGUGCAAGCGUUAAUCGGAAUUACUGGGCGUAAAGCGCGCGUAGGUGGUUUUGUAAGUUGGAGGUGAAAUCCCCGGGCUCAACCUGGGAACUGCCUCCAAAAAUGCAUGACUAGAGUACGGUAGAGGGUAGUGGAAUUUCCUGUGUAGCGGUGAAAUGCGUAGAUAUAGGAAGGAACACCAGUGGCGAAGGCGACUACCUGGACUGAUACUGACACUGAGGUGCGAAAGCGUGGGGAGCAAACAGGAUUAGAAACCCGUGUAGUCC